GGGAAGGUGGCUCAGUGGUAGAGCGCUUGCCUUGCAUGCAUGAGGCUCUGGGUUCGAU
rnacentral:tRNA from 1 species